rnacentral:rRNA from 1 species
UACGUAGGGUGCAAGCGUUAAUCGGAAUUACUGGGCGUAAAGCGUGCGCAGGCGGUUAUGUAAGACAGUUGUGAAAUCCCCGGGCUCAACCCUGGGAACUGCAUCUGUGACUGCAUAGCUAGAGUACGGUAGAGGGGGGAUGGAAUUCCGCGUGUAGCAGUGAAAUGCGUAGAUAUGCGGAGGAACACCCGAUGGCGAAGGCAAUCCCCUGGACCCUGUACUGACGCUCAUGCA